GAAAGAGGCUCGACAGCAACGAUGACUGCUAAUCUUCGCCUCCCCAGUUAAACUCUGGGGCUCAUUCG
rnacentral:tRNA from 1 species